rnacentral:rRNA from 1 species
ACGGCUCAGUAACACGUGGAUAACCUGCCCUUGGGUCCGGCAUAACCCCGGGAAACUGGGGAUAAUUCCGGAUAACGCACAUAUGCUGGAAUGCUUUAUGCGUAAAAUGGAUUCGUCUGCCCAAGGAUGGGUCUGCGGCCUAUCAGGUAGUAGUGGGUGUAAUGUACCUACUAGCCAACAACGGGUACGGGUUGUGAGAGCAAGAGCCCGGAGAUGGAUUCUGAGACAUGAAUCCAGGCCCUACGGGGCGCAGCAGGCGCGAAAACUUUACAAUGCGGGAAACCGUGAUAAGGGGACACCGAGUGCCAGCAUCAUAUGCUGGCUGUCCGGGUGUGUAAAAUACACCCGUUAGCAAGGGCCGGGCAAGACCGGUGCCAGCCGCCGCGGUAACACCGGCGGCCCGAGUGGUGAUCGUGAUUAUUGGGUCUAAAGGGUCCGUAGCCGGUUUGGUCAGUCCCCCGGGAAAUCUGACGGCUCAACCGUUAGGCUUUCGGGGGAUACUGCCAGGCUUGGAACCGGGAGAGGUAAGAGGUACUACAGGGGUAGGAGUGAAAUCUUGUAAUCCCUGUGAGACCACCUGUGGCGAAGGCGUCUUACCAGAACGGGUUCGACGUUGAGGGACGAAAGCUGGGGGCACGAACCGGAUUAGAUACCCGGGUAGUCCCAGCCGUAAACGAUGCUCGCUAGGUGUCAGGCAUGGCGCGACCGUGUCUGGUGCCGCAGGGAAGCCGUGAAGCGAGCCACCUGGGAAGUACGGCCGCAAGGCUGAAACUUAAAGGAAUUGGCGGGGGAGCAC